rnacentral:rRNA from 1 species
AUUGAACGCUGGCGGCAGGCCUAACACAUGCAAGUCGAACGGUAACAGGGAUCAGCUUGCUGAUUCGCUGACGAGUGGCGGACGGGUGAGUAAUGUCUGGGAAACUGCCUGAUGGAGGGGGAUAACUACUGGAAACGGUAGCUAAUACCGCAUAACGUCGCAAGACCAAAGAGGGGGACCUUCGGGCCUCUUGCCAUCGGAUGUGCCCAGAUGGGAUUAGCUAGUAGGUGGGGUAACGGCUCACCUAGGCGACGAUCCCUAGCUGGUCUGAGAGGAUGACCAGCCACACUAGAACUGAGACACGGUCCAGACUCCUACGGGAGGCAGCAGUGGGGAAUAUUGCACAAUGGGCGCAAGCCUGAUGCAGCCAUGCCGCGUGUAUGAAGAAGGCCUUCGGGUUGUAAAGUACUUUCAGCGGGGAGGAAGGGAGUAAAGUUAAUACCUUUGCUCAUUGACGUUACCCGCAGAAGAAGCACCGGCUAACUCCGUG